rnacentral:lncRNA from 1 species
UUUCACGGGGUACACAUGUGAUGAUACUGCAUGCCUGUAGGAUUCAAACAGGAAGAUCAUGUUUGUAGCCUGUACCAGAGCAGGUCGGAGACUGAGCAUCGUCUCAUCAACAAGUAGAGCCUACGGGACCAUACGUGCUGUCCCACUAGUGAGAAUGUACUACAGCACUGGGGAUAUGAGAGCCACCUGAAGAGAUCGUUUCGCAGGAAGGACCAACUUAAAGCCCCACUUGCUGGUACUUGGUACUAACACAAGUAGCAUUCAGUUGUGUAGCCAUGCUAUCAGAGUGUGU